UACAGAGGUGGCAAGCGUUGUUCGGAAUUACUGGGCGUAAAGGGCGAGUAGGUGGCCAUCUAAGUCAGACGUGAAAUCCUCCGGCUUAACCGGAGAAGUGCUUUGGAUACUGCUCGUCUUGAGGGAGGUAGGGGCAUGUGGAACUUCUGGUGGAGCGGUGAAAUGCGUUGAUAUCAGAAGGAACGCCGGUGGCGAAAGCGACGUGCUGGCCCUCUUCUGACGCUGAGGCGCGAAAGCUAGGGGAGCAAACGGG
rnacentral:rRNA from 1 species